UACGUAGGCAGCAAGCGUUGUUCGGAGUUACUGGGCGUAAAGGGUGCGUAGGUGGUGAGGUAAGUCGGAUGUGAAAUCUCCGAGCUCAACUCGGAAAUGGCAUUGGAAACUACCUUGCUCGAGGGUUGGAGGGGGGACUGGAAUGCUUGGUGUAGCAGUGAAAUGCGUAGAUAUCAAGCGGAACACCAGUGGCGAAGGCGAGUCCCUGGACAACUCCUGACACUGAGGCACGAAAGCUAGGGGAGCAAACAGG
rnacentral:rRNA from 1 species